UGGGGAAUAUUGCACAAUGGAGGGAACUCUGAUGCAGCGACGCCGCGUGAACGAAGAAGGCUUUCGAGCCGUAAAGUUCUUUUAUAUGGGAAGAUAAUGACGGUACCAUAAGAAAAAGCCCCGGCUAACUACGUGCCAGCAGCCGCGGUAAUACGUAGGGGGCUAGCGUUGUCCGGAAUCACUGGGCGUAAAGGGUUCGCAGGCGGAAAUGCAAGUCAGGUGUAAAAGGCAGUAGCUUAACUACUGUAAGCAUUUGAAACUGCAUAUCUUGAGAAGAGUAGAGGUAAGUGGAAUUUUUAGUGUAGCGGUGAAAUUCGUAGAUAUUAAAAAGAAUACCGGUGGCGAAGGCGGCUUACUGGGCUCAUUCUGACGCUGAGGAACGAAAGCGUGGGUAGCAAACAGG
rnacentral:rRNA from 1 species